GUCUAAGUAUAAGCAAUUAUACAGCGAAACUGCGAAUGGCUCAUUAAAUCAGUUAUCGUUUAUUUGAUAGUGCCCAUCUACAUGGAUAACCGUGGUAAUUCUAGAGCUAAUACAUGCGUAAAAGCGCGACUUCGGGAGCGCUGUAUUUAUUAGAUUAAAGACCAAUGCCCUCCGGGGCUCACUGGUGAUUCAUGAUAACUCCUCUGAUCGCACGGCCUUGCGCCGGCGACGGCUCAUUCAAAUUUCUGCCCUAUCAACUUUCGACUUUAGUGUAGUGGACUAAAGUGGUUGCAACGGGUAACGGAGGGUUAGGGCUCGACCCCGGAGAAGGAGCCUGAGAAACGGCUACUACAUCCAAGGAAGGCAGCAGGCGCGCAAAUUACCCAAUCCCGACACGGGGAGGUAGUGACAAUAAAUACUGAUACAGGGCUCUUUCGGGUCUUGUAAUCGGAAUGAGUACAAUCUAAAUCCUUUAACGAGGAGCAAUUGGAGGGCAAGUCUGGUGCCAGCAGCCGCGGUAAUUCCAGCUCCAAUAGCGUAUAUUAAAGUUGUUGUGGUUAAAAAGCUCGUAGUUGAACCUGGGCCCCGUCCCGGCCGGUCCGCCUCACCGCGUGCACUGGUUCGGGAGGGGCUUCGCACCUUGGGGGUACGCAUGCCCUUCGCUGGGCGUGCGGGGAACCAGGACUUUUACUGUGAAAAAAUUAGAGUGUUCAAAGCAGGCCUAUGCUCGAAUACAUUAGCAUGGAAUAAUAAAAUAGGACGUGCGGUUCUAUUUUGUUGGUUAUGGGACCGCCGUAAUGAUUAAUAGGGACAGUCGGGGGCGUCAGUAUUCGGUGGUCAGAGGUGAAAUUCUUGGACCCACCGAAGACUAACUACUGCGAAAGCAUUCGCCAAGGAUGUUUUCAUUAAUCAGGAACGAAAGUUAGGGGAUCGAAAACGAUCAGAUACCGUUGUAGUCUUAACCAUAAACUAUGCCGACUAGGGA
rnacentral:rRNA from 1 species